rnacentral:rRNA from 1 species
UACCGCAUAACGCCCUGGAAGGGGGAAAGGUGGGGGACCGCAAGGCCUCACGCGAAUGGAGCGGCCGAUGUCAGAUUAGCUAGUUGGUGGGGUAAAGGCCCACCAAGGCGACGAUCUGUAGCGGGUCUGAGAGGAUGAUCCGCCACACUGGGACUGAGACACGGCCCAGACUCCUACGGGAGGCAGCAGUGGGGAAUUUUGGACAAUGGGCGCAAGCCUGAUCCAGCCAUGCCGCGUGCGGGACGAAGGCCUUCGGGUUGUAAACCGCUUUCAGCCGGAAAGAAAUCGCCGUUUUAAUACAGACGGUGGAUGACGGUACCGGAAGAAGAAGCACCGGCUAACUACGUG